rnacentral:rRNA from 1 species
AUGCUUCUCCUAAAGACUAAGCCAUGCAUGUCUUCGAAUAAGAGGAAGCAAUUCUCUCUGAAUCUGCGAACGGCUCCGCAAACCAGUUGUAAACCACAGCAAGCCUGCAACGGUUGGACCUCGGUCUGGCCCGCGCGAUACGGAUAACCCUGGUAAUUCUAAGGUCUAAUACGUGUAUGGAACACCCGGUGGACCGGCUUCGGCUGGGAAACCGGGAGACGAGUGAUGGAAUGGUUUGGAUUACCAGGAACGGGCG